UCAAUUUCCGAUGGCCAGAACCAGAAAGGGGAAUUGGACCGGAGGGAAGGGGGUGGGGAGGAGGACCUUUCUUGAAUACCGGCUCUUAAGUUUCAAGCUUCUGCUAACAUUAUUGCUCAUUUGACUUUUUUUUCCCCCCUUCCUACACCGGAGGUAGUAGGUGUAAUUCUUCUGGUGAAUACAUGAAUAGUUGGCUAAAAGAAGGCAUGAAUCAGACUGAGAACGUCCAAAAAUACAGUUAUUUCCAUUCUUUUUCUGACCGUUGAAGGGGAAAGCUUUUGUCCAUAGUCCUCAUCUUGACCUUAAUCAGUAGUAUUUGGCUCAACGCCAUUUAAAAUGUUAGAAAUACGUCCUGGGGUUGGCAUUGACAGUUUUAAGGAAGAAGGAUUCAUAUGGAGAGAGAUAGAUGAUUAGAUGACUGAGAGAUAGAUGAUAGAUAAAUAGAUAAGAUAGAUGAUAGAUAGAUAGAUAGAUAGAUUUGCAUUAAAAUACAUGGAUGACCAAUCUCCUAGCAAUAAUUGCAAACACAAAAAAAUUAGUAAAAAAGUGGGCACAGAGCAAAGCUGUUUUUGUGUGGAAACCACCCUUUAAAUAGUUGUGCAUUAAUUUAAAAAAAAAAAAAAAACUGGUGUAAGAUAGAUACAGCCAGCACAGGAAAAUAAAGUUAAGGUGUGAGUAGUAUCAUCUCUACAAGUUAUCUCAAAAGUUUUCACUCUCAACUAAGACAAAUUGCCCUAAGAAGUAUCCACAUUGUAGAGGAAAGGAGCUUAUUCAAUGAGAAGUGGACUGCGGCUAAUUACUUAUUCAAACAGUGCCAUCCUGCGUCUAAAAAGAAGACUGAAAAAAAAAAAAAGAGGCAAAGGCAUAAGAGUUUGAAAGUCCAAGAAUAAGAACUGAGGAACUUCUAGAGACGGAGAGAGCAUGACGGAAGGAUGGUUAGAGGAAGAGAAGCAGACUCCCUGCUGAGUGCAGAGCCCAACUCAGGGCUUAAUCUCAGGACUCUGAGGUCAUGACCUGAGCCAAAAUCAACAAUCAGAUGCCAGCUGAGCCACCCAGGCGCCCCUAUAUGCCAAUGACUCAUAUCUAAAUGUCUACUUGGGAGACCUUCGUUUCUGCUCCUGUGAGCCUCAACACAAACUGAGCAUUCUCUUAUCAUGGAGUCAAGCUCCUUCCAGAGUUUAGCAAUCCAAAUGAAUUCAAAAUAGAAGAUGCAGGAACGCCUGGAUGGCACAGUCAGUAAGUGUCUGACUCUUGGUUUCAGGUCAUAAUCUCAGAGAUCUCGUGAGAUUGAGCCAGAAUCGGGCU